UACGGGGGGGCAAGCGUUGUUCGGAAUUACUGGGCGUAAAGGGCUCGUAGGUGGCCAACUAAGUCAGACGUGAAAUCCCUCGGCUUAACCGGGGAACUGCGUCUGAUACUGGAUGGCUAGAGUUUGGGAGAGGGAUGCGGAAUUCCUGGUGUAGCGGUGAAAUGCGUAGAUAUCAGGAGGAACACCUGUGGCGAAAGCGGCGCACUGGACCACAACUGACGCUGAGGCGCGAAAGCUAGGGGAGCAAACAGG
rnacentral:rRNA from 1 species